rnacentral:tmRNA from 1 species
GGGGGCGACACGGCAUUCGACGUGGGUUGCGAAACCUGAGGUGCAUGCCGAGGUGCGAAUCACCUCGUAAAACAAUUCGCAAACUUAUAGUUGCCAACGACGACAACUACGCACUCGCCGCUUAAUACCCGGUAGGGUGCCGUCAGACUGGGGCCGUGCUUGUGCGCCCAG